GAAAAGGGAACGGAAUAUUAUCAAUGACUUGACUUUGUGGUGUUUCCAAGGUCAUCGCCGUACCAAAAUGAAUAAAUAAAUAAAAGAUAAAUGAAAAGGGAACGGAAUAAUAUCGAUGACUUGACUUUGUGGUGUUUCCAAGGUCGACUUCUUUCCAAAAUGUUGUAUGUCCAAGAGUAAAAAAAAAAAAAAAUAAAUAAAUAAAAAAAAAAAAAAAAAAGGGAGGGUAAUUCAUAACUUUCUCAAUCAUAAAAAAAACACUGCAGUAGGAAAGUCAUCUUGUUAUCAGAAUAUUGCAAGUCCUUGAGCACACAAAAUAUAAUUGCCCAAAUAUAUAUAAAAAGGAAUGCCGUACAUGUUCUUAGUGAGAUAAAGGUCCGUUUUACAAGUCGAAUCUGAGACGCUUUGGGAUGAAGCAGGGUUUGGUCAGGAAGGGAGCAAAACGAAGGUCAAAAUCACCUCCUACUCUAACACACUCAACACAAUCAUCUUCGACACAUCUACUCUCACGGUUAAUUUCCAAUGUUGCAUGUAAAAAAAUUCUCCACAUCCCACCUCUCUCACCACUCACACACACACACACUGCACCUCAGAGUUAUUCAUCCCAAACUCUAUAGGGACCUGAAAUUUCUUGGAUUGGACUCAUAAUACGGCCCCUAAACCGACCUUUGUUGGGAGCCGAAACUUCUCUGAUUCGACUUGUAAUACAGCCCAUAUUCUACAAACUUGUGUUACUGCAGGUGAAGGGAAAUUCCAUAAACAGCAGACGGCAGCAGGUUAGAUAAAUUGUAUAAAAGUAACAAUAACAGGAAAAGAAA